CAAGAAGCCUGCAGGGUUCCCGCGCUAUGGAGCCCAGGAGAGACCCCGACAGCGGAAGAAGAAAGAGAGAGACAGCGUGAGCAGGGGAGGG